rnacentral:rRNA from 1 species
AUUGAACGCUGGCGGCAUGAUUUACACAUGCCAGUCGAACGGUAACAGGCCGCAAGGUGCUGGCGAGUGGCGAACGGGGGAGUAAUGCAUCGGAACGUGCCCAGUCGUGGGGGAUAACUACUCGAAAGAGUAGCUAAUACCGCAUACGAACUAUGGAUGAAAGCGGGGGACCGUAAGGCCUCGCGCGAUUGGAGCGGCCGAUGUCAGAUUAGGUAGUUGGUGGGGUAAAGGCGCACCAAGCCAACGAUCUGUAGCUGGUCUGAGAGGACGACCAGCCACACUGGGACUGAGACACGGCCCAGACUCCUACGGGAGGCAGCAGUGGGGAAUUUUGGACAAUGGGCGCAAGCCUGAUCCAGCAAUGCCGCGUGCAGGAAGAAGGCCUUCGGGUUGUAAACUGCUUUUGUACGGAACGAAACGGCUCUGGUUAAUACCCGGGGCUAAUGACGGUACCGGAAGAAUAAGCACCGGCUAACUACGUG